GGUGUGCCUAAAUUCGCUUUUAGGCAAACAUUUGAUUAUUCCACAUUAUAUCUGAGCGUGUUUUAAACUACAAACACUUGUGCUGCGCUCGCAACACGCCGCGGCGCAUUCAGCGGUGCACAACACACCUAGGUUGGGCGUUUCAGCCCAGUGACGGUGACCCGAGAAGACUUUGAAGGUUCGGACCAGACAUUUGUGGCGCUCAUAGUUGACAGACUUCUGCAGGAACACUUUGCAUCCACACUGCUGAUGACACCAAAAUCUUUUAGAAGUUGACAAUUAGCCAGACCACACUUUAUGCCAUUUAAUAAAGCUAUUUUUAUGGGGAAUAUUUAAUAUGACUGGCUUUGUUCUUGCCUUGGCCCAAGGGAUAUUAAAAUAUGGCUUCCCAUUGACUCUUAAAACAAACAAUUUUAACCUUUAUUGUAUUUUCUUUGCAACUGGAUGAAUACCAAACAUUGCGUUUUAUUUGAAAACCAACCCAACAGAUUCAAGUGUCUUACACAGUAAUACAACCACUACAUAAAGUUCAUUGAGGUGGUAAGAGAAAGUUACAGGCAUGAUUUGAUUCCUUUUUUUGAAUAUUUUAUUUUCUUUAUCAAAAAUCCAUUUCAAAUCUGGUGAAUGUCUGUAAAACAAGACGAGAUAAAAAUCAAAGACUCAAUGAUGGUGUCCACAUACCCUCUUUCCUCAGCCCUCCUGAAACAGGGAUUCACUACUGAUGUCUAUCUGCUGAUUAAACCAUGAAGGGAAUAAACACCAAGAAUAAAGUAACAAAACGGUGGAGAACGCUAGAGCUAGCAGAUCACUGCGCACCAUGGCUUCUGUUCAAUUAACCACGAAACUUUAACAGGAAAAUUAUACAUAUUUGUACAUAUAUAUAUUAAACAAAAAAAAAAAAGAAACAGAAAACACUAUUCGCAAGUCUACUCCAGACGACGUGCGGCCGAUAACUACAGUGUUUUGCUUUUUACUUCGAAAUGCAUUUGGAAAUUGAGAUGGUAGACGCCAUGUCGGGAAGAUUUUGCAGUCAGUUUAUUGUGAGUCUGUUCGGGGGACUUCAACAUGGCAAGUUCAGGAUAGAGGAAAGAUGGAGCUCAAAACCAAAAAACAGGACAACGAAGCAUCUUGCUCCCC